UACGAAGGGUGCAAACGUUGCUCGGAAUUAUUGGGCGUAAAGCGCACGUAGGCGGCUUAGCAAGUUGGAUGUGAAAUCCCUCGGCUCAACCAAGGAAGUGCAUCCAAAACUGCUGAGCUUGAAUACUUAAGAGGAUCGCGGAAUUCCCGGUGUAGAGGUGAAAUUCGUAGAUAUCGGGAGGAACACCGGUGGCGAAGGCGGCGACCUGGGUAGAUACUGACGCUGAGGUGCGAAAGCGUGGGGAGCAAACAGG
rnacentral:rRNA from 1 species